UACGAAGGGGGCUAGCGUUGCUCGGAAUCACUGGGCGUAAAGGGUGCGUAGGUGGGUUUGUAAGUCAGUGGUGAAAUCUCCAAGCUUAACUUGGGAACUGCCGUUGAUACUAUAAAUCUUGAAUGUUGUGGAGGUGAGCGGAAUAUGUCAUGUAGCGGUGAAAUGCUUAGAUAUGACAUAGAACACCAAUUGCGAAGGCAGCUCACUACACAAAGAUUGACACUGAGGCACGAAAGCGUGGGGAUCAAACAGG
rnacentral:rRNA from 1 species